UGCCCACUGAUAAUUUAUUAAAGGGCUGCAGUAAUUUGACUGUACAAAGGUAGCAUAAUCAUUAGUCAUUUAAUUGAUGACUUGUAUGAAAGAUUGGAUGAAAUAUAUACUGUCUUUAAUAUAUUUUAUAGAAAUUAAUUUUUUAAUAAAAAAGUUAAAAUGAAUAAAAAAGACGAGAAGACCCUAUAGAGUUUUAUUUUUCAAUAAAUAAAAAUUAUUUUUAAAUUUAAAAUUUAUAUUUAUUUAAAAAUUUUGUUGGGGUGAUAGAAAAAUUAAAUAAACUUUUUAAUGAGUGAAACAUAAAUAAGUGAUUUAUUGAUCCAUUUUUAGUGAUUAAAAGAAAAAAUUACCUUAGGGAUAACAGCGUAAUUUUUUUUUUUAGUUCGAAUAAAAAAAAGAGUUUGCGACCUCGAUGUUGGAUUAAGAUAAAAUUUAAAUGUAGAAGUUUAAAGUUUUGA
rnacentral:rRNA from 1 species